AAAAAGUUGAGUCGCUUUGGAUAAGCUUGUGUAACGAUCCUGUGUUCCCUGUCCCUCCUUUGUUUACCUCCUGUGCCAUGUGCUCCUGUGUUUACUUCCUGUCCCUGUGUUUUAGUUCCUGUCAGCCAUGUGCUCCUUUGUUUGUCUUGCCAUGUCUCAGUU